AGCGCUUGAGAAUUCAUGUAAUAACAGUAUGGUCCUAUGGGUUUCAGUACCAAAACUGAUUUUCUACCGUUUUUCUUCCAAGAAAGUUCUGAACAGCUGAAUCCUGGAUCAGCCUAGAUGUUAUUUCACUGGAUUAUUUAAUGAAUAAUACUCUACUGAGUUACCUGGUUACAUGGAUCAGCUAAGAUGUUGUUUCACUGGAUUAUUUAAUUGGGCAUAUAAUUGGAUAAUUCUGUCCUCAACCUGGAAGAUAUGUUUUAUUCCUAACCAUCUAUAAUCCAUUCUCUAUGAAGUUCAGCCUGUCUGCCCA